GGGUUGUGAGGUUAAGCGACUAAGCGUACACGGUGGAUGCCCUGGCAGUCAGAGGCGAUGAAGGACGUGCUAAUCUGCGAAAAGCGUCGGUAAGGUGAUAUGAACCGUUAUAACCGGCGAUGUCCGAAUGGGGAAACCCAGUGCAAUUCGUUGCACUAUCGUUAACUGAAUACAUAGGUUAACGAGGCGAACCGGGGGAACUGAAACAUCUAAGUACCCCGAGGAAAAGAAAUCAACCGAGAUUCCCCCAGUAGCGGCGAGCGAACGGGGAGCAGCCCAGAGUCUGAAUCAGCUUGUGUGUUAGUGGAACGGUCUGGAAAGUCCGACGGUACAGGGUGAUAGUCCCGUACACCAAAAUGCACAGGUUGUGAACUCGAAGAGUAGGGCGGGACACGUGGUAUCCUGUCUGAAUAUGGGGGGACCAUCCUCCAAGGCUAAAUACUCCUGACUGACCGAUAGUGAACCAGUACCGUGAGGGAAAGGCGAAAAGAACCCCGGCGAGGGGAGUGAAAAAGAACCUGAAACCGUGUACGUACAAGCAGUGGGAGCACCUUCGGGUGUGACUGCGUACCUUUUGUAUAAUGGGUCAGCGACUUAUAUUCUGUAGCAAGGUUAACCGUAUAGGGGAGCCGCAGGGAAACCGAGUCUUAACUGGGCGUUAAGUUGCAGGGUAUAGACCCGAAACCCGGUGAUCUAGCCAUGGGCAGGUUGAAGGUUGGGUAACACUAACUGGAGGACCGAACCGACUAAUGUUGAAAAAUUAGCGGAUGACUUGUGGCUGGGGGUGAAAGGCCAAUCAAACCGGGAGAUAGCUGGUUCUCCCCGAAAGCUAUUUAGGUAGCGCCUCGUGAACUCAUCUUCGGGGGUAGAGCACUGUUUCGGCUAGGGGGUCAUCCCGACUUACCAACCCGAUGCAAACUACGAAUACCGAAGAAUGUUAUCACGGGAGACACACGGCGGGUGCUAACGUCCGUCGUGAAGAGGGAAACAACCCAGACCGCCAGCUAAGGUCCCAAAGUCAUGGUUAAGUGGGAAACGAUGUGGGAAGGCACAGACAGCCAGGAUGUUGGCUUAGAAGCAGCCAUCAUUUAAAGAAAGCGUAAUAGCUCACUGGUCGAGUCGGCCUGCGCGGAAGAUGUAACGGGGCUAAACCAUGCACCGAAGCUGCGGCAGCGACACUAUGUGUUGUUGGGUAGGGGAGCGUUCUGUAAGCCUGCGAAGGUGACCUGUGAGGGUUGCUGGAGGUAUCAGAAGUGCGAAUGCUGACAUAAGUAACGAUAAAGCGGGUGAAAAGCCCGCUCGCCGGAAGACCAAGGGUUCCUGUCCAACGUUAAUCGGGGCAGGGUGAGUCGACCCCUAAGGCGAGGCCGAAAGGCGUAGUCGAUGGGAAACAGGUUAAUAUUCCUGUACUUGGUGUUACUGCGAAGGGGGGACGGAGAAGGCUAUGUUAGCCGGGCGACGGUUGUCCCGGUUUAAGCAUGUAGGCUGAUUAUCCAGGCAAAUCCGGAUAAUCAAGGCUGAGGUGUGAUGACGAGGCACUACGGUGCUGAAGUAACAAAUGCCCUGCUUCCAGGAAAAGCCUCUAAGCAUCAGGUAACAUCAAAUCGUACCCCAAACCGACACAGGUGGUCAGGUAGAGAAUACCAAGGCGCUUGAGAGAACUCGGGUGAAGGAACUAGGCAAAAUGGUGCCGUAACUUCGGGAGAAGGCACGCUGGUGUGUAGGUGAAGCCCCUGCGGGUGGAGCUGAGACCAGUCGAAGAUACCAGCUGGCUGCAACUGUUUAUUAAAAACACAGCACUGUGCAAACACGAAAGUGGACGUAUACGGUGUGACGCCUGCCCGGUGCCGGAAGGUUAAUUGAUGGGGUUAUCCGUAAGGAGAAGCUCUUGAUCGAAGCCCCGGUAAACGGCGGCCGUAACUAUAACGGUCCUAAGGUAGCGAAAUUCCUUGUCGGGUAAGUUCCGACCUGCACGAAUGGCGUAAUGAUGGCCAGGCUGUCUCCACCCGAGACUCAGUGAAAUUGAACUCGCUGUGAAGAUGCAGUGUACCCGCGGCAAGACGGAAAGACCCCGUGAACCUUUACUAUAGCUUGACACUGAACAUUGAGCCUUGAUGUGUAGGAUAGGUGGGAGGCUUUGAAGCGUGGACGCCAGUCUGCGUGGAGCCAACCUUGAAAUACCACCCUUUAAUGUUUGAUGUUCUAACGUUGGCCCCUAAUCGGGGUUGCGGACAGUGUCUGGUGGGUAGUUUGACUGGGGCGGUCUCCUCCCAAAGCGUAACGGAGGAGCACGAAGGUUAGCUAAUCCUGGUCGGACAUCAGGAGGUUAGUGCAAUGGCAUAAGCUAGCUUGACUGCGAGCGUGACGGCGCGAGCAGGUGCGAAAGCAGGUCAUAGUGAUCCGGUGGUUCUGAAUGGAAGGGCCAUCGCUCAACGGAUAAAAGGUACUCCGGGGAUAACAGGCUGAUACCGCCCAAGAGUUCAUAUCGACGGCGGUGUUUGGCACCUCGAUGUCGGCUCAUCACAUCCUGGGGCUGAAGUAGGUCCCAAGGGUAUGGCUGUUCGCCAUUUAAAGUGGUACGCGAGCUGGGUUUAGAACGUCGUGAGACAGUUCGGUCCCUAUCUGCCGUGGGCGCUGGAGAAUUGAGGGGGGCUGCUCCUAGUACGAGAGGACCGGAGUGGACGCAUCACUGGUGUUCGGGUUGUCAUGCCAAUGGCACUGCCCGGUAGCUAAAUGCGGAAGAGAUAAGUGCUGAAAGCAUCUAAGCACGAAACUUGCCCCGAGAUGAGUUCUCCCUGAGACUUUAAGUCUCCUGAAGGAACGUUAAAGACGAUGACGUUGAUAGGCCGGGUGUGUAAGCGCAGCGAUGCGUUGAGCUAACCGGUACUAAUGAACCGUGAGGCUUAACCUUACAACGCCGAAG
rnacentral:rRNA from 1 species